rnacentral:rRNA from 1 species
AUUGAACGCUGGCGGCAUGCUUUACACAUGCAAGUCGGACGGCAGCACAGAGAAGCUUGCUUCUUGGGUGGCGAGUGGCGAACGGGUGAGUAACAUAUCGGAACGUACCGAGCAGUGGGGGAUAACUAAUCGAAAGAUUAGCUAAUACCGCAUAUAUUCUGAGGAAGAAAGCAGGGGACCAUUUGGCCUUGCGCUGUUUGAGCGGCCGAUAUCUGAUUAGCUGGUUGGUGGGGUAAAGGCCUACCAAGGCGACGAUCAGUAGCGGGUCUGAGAGGAUGAUCCGCCACACUGGGACUGAGACACGGCCCAGACUCCUACGGGAGGCAGCAGUGGGGAAUUUUGGACAAUGGGCGCAAGCCUGAUCCAGCCAUGCCGCGUGUCUGAAGAAGGCCUUCGGGUUGUAAAGGACUUUUGUCAGGGAAGAAAAGGACAGGGUUAAUACCCCUGUCUGAUGACGGUACCUGAAGAAUAAGCACCGGCUAACUACGUGCCAGCAGCCGCGGUAAUACGUAGGGUGCGAGCGUUAAUCGGAAUUACUGGGCGUAAAGCGGGCGCAGACGGUUACUUAAGCAGGAUGUGAAAUCCCCGGGCUCAACUUGGGAACUGCGUUCUGAACUGGGUGACUAGAGUGUGUCAGAGGGAGGUAGAAUUCCACGUGUAGCAGUGAAAUGCGUAGAGAUGUGGAGGAAUACCGAUGGCGAAGGCAGCCUCCUGGGAUAACACUGACGUUCAUGCCCGAAAGCGUGGGUAGCAAACAGG